GGAGUGACUGCUACACAUGGGACGUCAAACCUGCGGCACGGGGAAGCCGGUGAGAAUCCGGCACGGUCCCGCCACUGUGACCGGACGAGCCCCCGCUCCCGGAAGUCAGAUCGCCGUCCGCGGGUACCACGACGAG
rnacentral:ncRNA from 1 species